UGUAAAUGCAAAGUGUUUAUUCUACAGAACUCCAGCAUGCUUGGAUCGCCUCUUACCAAGACAGGGAGACAACCAAGUGAACUCGCAGGCCUGACAUAAAGCUCAUUAGGGGAUUCUGGGGAAGAAGAGAUGGCGAGGAGCCAGUCACAUGACAGUGGGUGCAGAGGUGUUUUCAAACCAAUGAAGGCCAUGGACUGUGGAGGAGCCCAGAAGAUGGGAGACAUAUCUGUAACAGAACCUGGAAGGGAAGUUCCUGCCAGAGGAACCACUGCCAACUUGAUUUCAGCCUUCUGACUUCAGACUGUGAGGGAAUACAUUCGAGCCAUUCUGGGACUUUUCCAGAGAGGAUAAACUGAGAAGUCAAGAUGUUCUCUGGAUGUGGGCUGCACCAUCCCAUGGUCUUGGGUCCCAGACUGAACGAAAAGCAAAAUGGAGAAAGCUGAUCAUGUACCCGCAUUUCCCCUUCUCUGCAACCUGAUCAGCCAAGACGUUAGCAGGCAGCUCGUUGUCACCAUGGACAGAGCCUGGUCCGGGCCUGGUCCCACC
rnacentral:lncRNA from 1 species